UACGAAGGGGGCUAGCGUUGUUCGGAAUUACUGGGCGUAAAGCGUAUGCAGGCGGACCUUUAAGUCAGGGGUGAAAUCCUGAGGCUCAACCUCAGAACUGCCUUUGAUACUGGAGAUCUUGAGUCCGGGAGAGGUUAGUGGAACUGCGAGUGUAGAGGUGAAAUUCGUAGAUAUUCGCAAGAACACCAGUGGCGAAGGCGGCUCACUGGCCCGAUACUGACGCUGAGGCACGAAAGCGUGGGGAGCAAACAGG
rnacentral:rRNA from 1 species